UUAUGUACACACCUACAAUGUUAAUGCACUAGAUUCCAUUAGAACUCUGUAGUUAAGCGCACUUGGGCUAGAGUAGUAUUGGGAUAGGUGACCGCUUGAGAAGUCCUAGUGUUUUACAUGCC
rnacentral:rRNA from 1 species